rnacentral:rRNA from 1 species
UACGAACCGUCCAAACGUUAUUCGGAAUCACUGGGCUUAAAGGGUGCGUAGGCGGCGUGGAAAGUUGGGUGUGAAAUCCCUCAGCUUAACUGAGGAACAGCGCCCAAAACUACCAUGCUCGAGGGAGAUAGAGGAAUGCGGAACUUAGGGUGGAGCGGUGAAAUGCGUUGAUAUCCUAGGGAACACCGGUGGCGAAAGCGGCAUUCUGGAUCUCUUCUGACGCUGAGGCACGAAAGCUAGGGUAGCAAACGGG